AUUGAACGCUGGCGGCAUGCCUUACACAUGCAAGUCGAACGGUAACAGGUCUUCGGAUGCUGACGAGUGGCGAACGGGUGAGUAAUGCAUCGGAACGUGCCCAGUAGUGGGGGAUAGCCCGGCGAAAGCCGGAUUAAUACCGCAUACGACCUGAGGGUGAAAGGGGGGGAUCGCAAGACCUCUCGCUAUGUGAGCGGCCGAUGUCAGAUUAGCUAGUUGGUGGGGUAAAGGCCUACCAAGGCAACGAUCUGUAGUUGGUCUGAGAGGACGACCAGCCACACUGGGACUGAGACACGGCCCAGACUCCUACGGGAGGCAGCAGUGGGGAAUUUUGGACAAUGGGCGCAAGCCUGAUCCAGCAAUGCCGCGUGCAGGAAGAAGGCCUUCGGGUUGUAAACUGCUUUUGUCAGGGAAGAAAUCUUCUGGGUUAAUACCUCGGGAGGAUGACGGUACCUGAAGAAUAAGCACCGGCUAACUACGUGCCAGCCGCCGCGGUAACAC
rnacentral:rRNA from 1 species